AUUGAACGCUGGCGGCAGGCCUAACACAUGCAAGUCGAGCGGCAGCGGAAAGUAGCUUGCUACUUUGCCGGCGAGCGGCGGACGGGUGAGUAAUGUCUGGGAAACUGCCUGAUGGAGGGGGAUAACUACUGGAAACGGUAGCUAAUACCGCAUAACGUCGCAAGACCAAAGAGGGGGACCUUCGGGCCUCUUGCCAUCAGAUCUGCCCAGAUGGGAUUAGCUGGCAGGUAGGGUAAUGGCCUACCUGGGCGGCGAUCCCUAGCUGGUCUGAGGGGAUGACCAGCCACACUGGAACUGAGACACGGGCCAGACUCCUACGGGAGGCAGCAGUGGGGAAUAUUGCACAAUGGGCGCAAGCCUGAUGCAGCCAUGCCGCGUGUGUGAAGAAGGCCUUCGGGUUGUAAAGCACUUUCAGCGAGGAGGAAGGCAGUAAGGUUAAUAACCUUGCUGAUUGACGUUACUCGCAGAAGAAGCACCGGCUAACUCCGUGCCAGCAGCCGCAGUAA
rnacentral:rRNA from 1 species